rnacentral:lncRNA from 1 species
GCAUAAAUUCUCAUUGAGGCAAAAUUCCAAACAUCUUGUGUGUGACUUAAAUUUUCAGAUUUCUUAGUUGUUUAGAUAUGGUUCUAGCCAUAAUUUUCAAUCUUAUCACUCCAAUGUCCUGCAUAAUACUUUGUUGACACUAAUUUACAACCCAAGCACAAGAAUCUCAAUAAUUACAAUACAUUAUUACUCUAAUUUUCAUAAACUUAAUAAGUAGAAGUUAUUACCUCUUGUUUGAAGAAUUUGUGCUUCACGUUUGCUUGAAGAUUAACUUUGAAUAUUCUCUUUGAUAACGAUUACUCUAAUCCUUCUAUCCUCUCUAACAGUCAUAUGUGAAGAGAAAGAAAAAACCUACGACUUAAACAAGGUAGAGAGUUGAUUCAUGUUCUAAAAUUACAGAUUGAAGAUAAAUUUAUGUUCAAAAUCAUUACCUGAAAGGGCUUGAUCGAACAAUUGGAGAAGAAUUACACCAUUGCCUACCAUGGCUUCACCGCCGCUCUCCGGAAUCAUUCGGGCUACCGUCCACCCCAGCCCAAGUGUGGCUCCGCCCCUAAUUACAUAUACGACCAAAUUCGCUUAAAAGUAUUGGUCGUUAUUUUCU